UCUAAGACUUAUUUGUAAUUUUGCCAUACCAGACUCUACUAGUCGAUGACUCGAGAAGACCGAAGAUAAGUUUUAUCUUUUUUUCCUCUCUUCUCAGUUCUCACUUCGUUCAUCCCGCUCCCGCCUCUCCAAUGAUGUUAAUCAAUAAUCAAUCACUCAAAUUAGGUUUAAGGUGACAUCCGGUUCUUAAAAUUUUAACCUAAGAAAUGUUACCAACAGUAAGAAAAUUAGGCGGAAAAUCAACAAAUCUAAAGAAAUGUCCAAAACCAAGUGGUGAUGUGCCUGUUGAGAGUCCUACAAAGGUUGUGGAGUAUGGCGUUUUUGAAGAAAGAUACGAAUUGGAAGGUAAUGUACGUUUACCUCCAAUUUUUAGACCUAACCUACAACAUAUACAAGAGUGGUAGAUGAUUUAGAACAUGCUUCACAUAAAAUUAAUUUUGAAUCAACGGUCUCACUUUUUCAACAUCGCUCGUCACUUUGUAACAUUAUUAGUGUUUAUAAGGAUAUAAAAGAUAAGUGUCCACAAGCUUCGUAUAUUAUAUCAAAAAUCGGAUAGGAUCGUCUUUUGAACAUGACAGUAGGGGAAAGUUCACACGCUUUAAUUGACUAUAUCGUUGAACGUUGGUGGGAUACGGCGCACACUUUUCAUUUACCAUUUGGUGAGAUGGGGUUUACGCCGUUAGAUUGGAUGAUGUUAACUGGAAUUCCAAUUGGUGUCGGUAAACGUAUAUUGUAUGACCCCGGAGUGUAUAAAUUUGACUAUGUUAAAGAAAAAUUUUCCCUGAGAUAAAGGAGGACGCUCAACCAUGUCAGCGGAAAUGCGAUGCAAUUAAGCUUUGGUUCUUAAAAGAGUACUCUAAACAAGAGUUUUUGUCAAGUGUGGGUAACAAUGUAGUACUAAUAGAGAAAUUGGCUAGGGCUUUUUGGAUGUAUUGUUUGGGUACAUUUUUCUUCUCUAAUGCAAGUAACUACAUUGAUGCCGGAUGGUUGGCUUCUUUAAAAAAUGUUAACGAUGUUGGAGACUAUGACUGGGGUGGCUAUGCUUUUGCCUCCUUAUAUAUUUCACUAAAUUUUACUAGCAGGUCAAUGGAGUCGUUAAAUGGGCCCGUCCAGUUAUUAGAGUUCUGGGGGUAUGAAUAUCUCGGCAUUUGUCGACCAACUCCCGAUCUUCCCGAAGAUACAAAUCAGGAUUCCAUAUAGCCUAGACCUUCUAGGUGGAGGUCCAAAAAGAAGAGCAUUGUUGUCAUCCUUACUCACAGGAGUGCACUGGUGCGUCUCACUUAUGAUAAGGUAACAUGGCGCCCGUGGGAGUCUGCCAUGAAGUUAAUAGAUAGUGACCAGGAUGUACGCAUGGCUUUAAUUCUUUCUAAAAGAAGAGUUGGAUUUCGUCAUCUUGUACAGGUAUGUAAAGUUUUCUUUUAUAUGUCCCCGCUAUUAUUAGUAUUCAAUUCAUGAUUAACCUGUUCAUAUCUUUUAUAUGUCCCCGCUAUUAUUAGUAUUUGGCAGAUGGUAAUUUGACGGAUGGUGAAGACUUUGUGAAUAAGGUGUCAUAUGACUUGUAUAUAGAGUAUUAGCAGCAUGUCAGUGGUUUUGAAUUAACCGACGGUACUGUUGAUUGGAUUGCUCAAUUUUAUGCGUAUGAAGGUGAUAUAGUUAAAGUCACAGUUGAUAUGGUUAAAGUUUCAAUUUCAUGUUCCGAUAUCCAGGCCAUCACAAUUAUCACCUGCACCAUAUUAUAAUAUGCUUCAAGAUAAUGUAGAUUUUAUUGCUCAAUUUCGAAAAGUAGUUUAAGAGAAUCAAAGGUUAGGAUGGACCUGAUAAUGAUUCAAUAAGACUCGAUUGCGAAGCUUACAAUGACUAACAGGUGAUUGGUCAAUGAACUAAACCGAACGCUACCUUUGAUGGUUCAGGAUCCACAAAGCUCAUCUCAGCCUGUUCUUGGCUUAGGAAACUUUAGCGGUACCGUUCCGUCACAGGUGUGGAAUCAAGCCGGUCAAUCGCAAACCCCUUCCGUAUCAGUAAUAUUUAACAACUCGGUCGGGUCAUCUUCAAUGAACCUUUCUAGAAUCCCUUUUCAACCUCCUCGAUUUUCACCUCCAGAUGUUUGAACAUCCCGAUUUUUAGUUAUUUUGGUUUGUACUCUUACUUUGAUUGUCCUGUUUUUUCUUUUUGCUUUUUAAUAGGUUUGUAAAUGUUUGGUUUUUAAUAGGUUUUUUUGCUUUUUGCUUUUUAAUAGAAACUUGUAAAUGUUUUGCUUUCUAUAGUAGGUUUGUAAAUGUUGUCUCGAUAGAAUAUCGUUUGUGAGGUAGAACUGAACAUUUUAACUGCAUGGUUAUGUGUAGAUGUUAUGUCUAGUUGUGUGAUUAAGCUGAUAUUAAUCGAAGUUAAUGAAUAUCAUUAAGUUUCAUGUGA